AGCGGCGGACGGGGGAGUAACGCGUGGGUAACCGUGCCUCAUACAGGGGAGUAACAGUUGGAAACGACUGCUAAUACCGCAUAAGCGCACAGUACCGCAUGGUACCGUGUGAAAAACUCCGGUGGUAUGAGAUGGACCCGCGUCUGAUUAGCUAGUUGGUGGGGUAACGGCCUACCAAGGCGACGAUCAGUAGCCGACCUGAGAGGGUGACCGGCCACAUUGGGACUGAGACACGGCCCAA
rnacentral:rRNA from 1 species